rnacentral:rRNA from 1 species
CGCAAGGUGAGCGGCAGACGGGUGAGUAACGCGUGGGAACCUUCCCUUUGGUACGGAAUAACUUCGGGAAACCGAAGCUAAUACCGUAUAAGUCCUUCGGGAGAAAGAUUUAUCGCCAAAGGAUGGGCCCGCGUUGGAUUAGCUAGUUGGUAGGGUAAAGGCCUACCAAGGCAACGAUCCAUAGCUGGUCUGAGAGGAUGAUCAGCCACACUGGGACUGAGACACGGCCCAGACUCCUACGGGAGGCAGCAGUGGGGAAUAUUGGACAAUGGACGCAAGCCUGAUCCAGCCAUGCCGCGUGAGUGAAGAAGGCCUUAGGG